ACAUAGCAUACCAGUAACGCACUGGACCCUCACGGCAGAGGGCGUCGGUUCGAGUCCCG
rnacentral:tRNA from 16 species